AGAGUUUGAUCCUGGCUCAGGACGAACGCUGGCGGCGUGCCUAACACAUGCAAGUCGAGCGAUGAAGUUCCCUUCGGGGAACGGAUUAGCGGCGGACGGGUGAGUAACACGUGGGCAACCUGCCUCAAAGAGGGGAAUAGCCUCCCGAAAGGGAGAUUAAUACCGCAUAAAAUUACGAAAUCGCAUGGUUUUGUAAUUAAAGGAGUAAUCCGCUUUGAGAUGGGCCCGCGGCGCAUUAGCUAGUUGGUAAGGUAAAGGCUUACCAAGGCGACGAUGCGUAGCCGACCUGAGAGGGUGAUCGGCCACAUUGGAACUGAGACACGGUCCAGACUCCUACGGGAGGCAGCAGUGGGGAAUAUUGCGCAAUGGGGGAAACCCUGACGCAGCAACGCCGCGUGAGUGAUGAAGGCCUUAGGGUUGUAAAGCUCUGUUAUCUGGGACGAUAAUGACGGUACCAGAGGAGGAAGCCACGGCUAACUACGUGCCAGCAGCCGCGGUAAUACGUAGGUGGCGAGCGUUGUCCGGAUUUACUGGGCGUAAAGAGUGCGUAGGCGGAUGUUUAAGUGAGAUGUGAAAUACCCGAGCUCAACUUGGGUGCUGCAUUUCAAACUGGGCAUCUAGAGUGCAGGAGAGGAAAGCGGAAUUCCUAGUGUAGCGGUGAAAUGCGUAGAGAUUAGGAAGAACACCAGUGGCGAAGGCGGCUUUCUGGACUGUAACUGACGCUGAGGCACGAAAGCGUGGGGAGCAAACAGGAUUAGAUACCCUGGUAGUCCACGCCGUAAACGAUGGGUACUAGGUGGUCGGGGGU
rnacentral:rRNA from 1 species